rnacentral:tRNA from 1 species
GGGCAGAUGGUCGAGUGGAUUAUGGCAUCGGUCUUGAAAACCGAAAUUAGAAAACUAAUCGUGGGUUCGAAUCCCACUCUGCCCU